AGCUCAGUUGGUAGAGCGUCUAGCUGACAGCUAGGAGGACAUGGGUUCGAAUCCUAUCAUCG
rnacentral:tRNA from 1 species